CCUAAGUGCAACCAUAAAUUUCCGCGCUAAAUUUUGAUCGUCCGUCUUAUUUAAAAUUUUUUUAUAAUUAAUAUUUUUGUUGUUAUGAGAUGAUAAAACAUGAAUAGUAUUUUAUGUUUUCAAUUUUUUUCAAAAUUUUUUUAAAUAAGAUGGACGGUUAAGGUCAGACGCGAAAAACCAUAGCGACACUUAAA
rfam:Oryza nivara chromosome 1, whole genome shotgun sequence.